UACAGUGUGGCAUAGUGAUUUGAGUGCCGGACUAUGACUCUGGAUGCUAGAGUUCAAUUCCCUGCUUAGCCA